UACAGAGGUCCCGAGCGUUGUUCGGAUUCACUGGGCGUAAAGAGCGCGCAGGCGGUCGUACAAGUCGCGUGUGAAAGCCCCCGGCUCAACUGGGGAGGGUCACGCGAUACUGUUCGACUCGAAGGCAGGAGAGGGAAGCGGAAUUCCCGGUGUAGUGGUGAAAUGCGUAGAUAUCGGGAGGAACACCAGUGGCGAAGGCGACUUCCUGGCCUGUUCUUGACGCUGAGGCGCGAAAGCUAGGGGAGCAAACGGG
rnacentral:rRNA from 1 species